CCUACGGGUGGCAGCAGUGGGGAAUAUUGCACAAUGGGCGCAAGCCUGAUGCAGCCAUGCCGCGUGUGUGAAGAAGGCCUUCGGGUUGUAAAGCACUUUCAGCGGGGAGGAAGGCGGUGAGGUUAAUAACCUCAUCGAUUGACGUUACCCGCAGAAGAAGCACCGGCUAACUCCGGUGCCAGCAGCCGCGGUAAUACGGAGGGUGCAAGCGUUAAUCGGAAUUACUGGGCGUAAAGCGCACGCAGGCGGUCUGUCAAGUCGGAUGUGAAAUCCCCGGGCUCAACCUGGGAACUGCAUUCGAAACUGGCAGGCUAGAGUCUUGUAGAGGGGGGUAGAAUUCCAGGUGUAGCGGUGAAAUGCGUAGAGAUCUGGAGGAAUACCGGUGGCGAAGGCGGCCCCCUGGACAAAGACUGACGCUCAGGUGCGAAAGCGUGGGGAGCAAACAGGAUUAGAUACCCUUGUAGUC
rnacentral:rRNA from 1 species